rnacentral:sRNA from 11 species
UUGAUUUUGUAACGGUAGGAACUAUCGAAAGUUACGCCUGUCAGAUAUGAUAAGUGAAACCCUGCGAGGAUAAGAAGUUGGAGUUCGAACUCUGUAAAAUCCU